GAAGGCAAAUGAAGCAGUCCUGUUUAUGAACAAUGUAUUAUGCUAGAUGAAUGUGCAGAGCUGAUUGGUAUGGAUGUCGAAUCCUUCAUAAACAACAAACUCCACAAAAACAAAAAACACUGGAAACCACAUCAUCAACCUCUCUGUGACUCACUGGCUGAGAAAACCAAUGGUGGCUUCAACGACACAUGCUAAUGGUCCAAUUUCUGCACAGUUUACCAAGAAUAGGUGGAUUGCUCCUCCUUGAAAGUUGACUUUGAACUUGACCAAAUGAACAACUUUGGCUGAGAACACAGAGUGGAGACUCCAUUGUUCCAGUAAUGCUACAAAAAAUGUUGCUGAGAAAGAUAACAGAAGGGAACAAAACUCACUUGGCUGAGACCCUAAAGAUGGGAGAAAUUCAACCAGUCACCCAAGUUCUUUCAGCAUCAACGUCCUUUGUCAGUGACAUACUGGGGUCUGCUGGUGGUAAGAGAAAGGGUGGAAUCAGAGAGUCUAGUAGCUAGAGUCUCCUGGGAAAGGCUUCAACAUAUGAAACCUGUAUUACAGUUGCAGUUCAUUGAAAAUAGUCGGUACAGGCAUUUGGUACAUGCGUCAUAAUUUGGUGGUUAAUUUGUGGGGAAUAAAAGAGAAGUACAACAUAAUUCAAAAUUUUCUCCAAAGAAUAAUUUCAUAAUAAAAUUACCUUUUAAAGCAACAGAAAACAUGCAACCAGAAAGAAAGGUUAGAUUGUGGAUGUGCAAAUCUGUGGCAGAAAUCAUGGAUUUUAUAACUUAAAUUAGACUCUAAUGGAGCAAUAUUAAAUCACUUAAUAUUCAAUGCUAAAAUAAAAUACUGUGAUAACUGAAAA